CCCUCUCCCACGCCCCUCCACUUGACCUAGUCGACUCCCGCCGCCGUCGCCGCCAUGCCUCGCCUCGCCACCGUGGCCAUCGAGCUCCCCGAUGGCUAGGAACGUGUCCAGAAGCACCAACGUCGUCCGCCGCAUCGUCCACGACCACGAGCUCGAGCUGGGCGUCUCUACAUCACCGGGAUCAAGCGCUUCUUCCCCUCGGCCGCCGGCGCCUCUCCAACGAAUUUCGGCGCCCUCUGCUGCUCCCGGCCACCAAUGAGCCUCCGUGAGCUCCCUUGACUACGAGACCGCCACCGCUGCUGCCCCGGUUGACUACGGUGUUGACGACCCCUCCUUCUUGCCAGAGCAACCAGACGUCGCAACCAGAUAUUGGAGCCCAGGAGCCAGCCGCCACCGUCGAUGAUGACCUCUACUAUACCGAGGGUGCCUAGUACUACGUGCAGGCCGUCGACGGCUAAGAGUAGUUAGGAGGAUCCCAGGCAGGAGGCAUGCACCUCUUUCGAUCUAUAUCCCAGUUUGUGCUAGCCAUCUUAUGGCACCUUGUUUAACUUGUGUCUAUACUCAGAUAUUGUUGCUUCCACUGACUCAUUUCUGUUCUAGCACUUGUAUCCGAGACCUUGAGGCCCCUGGCUUGUACCAUGAUGCUUGUAUGACUUAUUUUACUUUAAAAUUGUGUUGUGAUAUUUCCCA